rnacentral:lncRNA from 1 species
CUACUUCUCCGUCGGCCUCUUCCUCUCCUUAAAUAGGUCGCCCACCCCCUGAUCUAUAGCGACGAAUCCCUUGAUGGAGGGGUAACGGAUGCAGGGGCUCUCGAAUCCGGAAGAGGGGGAUUUGGUGCGGGAUCGUCGGGAAGCCGGAAGAGGAAUCAAUGGGCGGAAGAAAUGGGACCUUGAUCGAUGGGAGGAAAUCACGGAAGGGCUGCUGGGGGCUUGGACAUGUGCUGAAACUCGGAAGCGGGAUCAUGGGAAGGCUGAGAGGUUGAUUCGGGAAGGGAGGAGAUGCGAAAUUCCCAUCUGGUUGGCCAAGGAAUCGCUGGAUUACGGGAUGAGAAACGCGGACUUCCUUCUUCGGGCGCUGCUGGGACUGCUGGGAGCGUGAUCGACGGGGUGCUGAAGAGGAAGGAUGUUGAUCGUGGCAUGCUUGAAGAUGGCGGCCUGAUGCGGAAGGAAGGAUCAGCUGGGAAUCCGGAAUGGGCGCACGUCUUGAUGCAUCGCGGGAUCUUGGACACGGAAGGAGGGAGGAGCUGCAGACGGCGUGAUUUGCUGGCACGGUGGCUGGC